UCCCGAACCUACUAAGCUAACUAGGAAUAAUUCUAACCUAGUUAGAUAGUGACUUAUGAGUGGGUUAAAACACUUAAAUUAUGAACUAAGGAAAAUGAAGGGGCCAAAGAUGUUAAAAUCGAAACUUAUGUUGCUAAUUUAAUUAAAACAAAAACCAAACACCCCAUUUGGGGAUGUCUGGUCGUACAAAGAAGCAGGAGGCGAUGGGUUUCUUCAAACCCUAAAAUCCUUACUAAAACUCUCAAAUUGGAGGUGCAAAUCUGGUCGAAAACGAAAAUCGAGCAUAGAUUACUGAUCCCCAUUGCAAGGGGGUUGUAAGUUUGACUCUUGACAAGCUAGAUGGAGGCUUGGAAUGAAGCGGGUCAAACGAAGCAAGUACGAAAAGAAAAGCGUAAUUUGGAUGCGAGUCUUAGGUACUCAAGGAUUAUGGGUGACGAUCAAGCAACUUUUGAAGGACCGAACACAUACUCUUGAAGCUUCCGCAUAAAUCAACUCGGUUUAAACAAUGUUUAUGAUGUAAACUGUUUGCUAAACAACUUUUGAAAUGUUUAAACGACGUACUCAAUUAUGUUAUGUUGUAUUAUUUUAAAAUUGUAAAGUUUAAACAAACCCGUAUUUUUACUAAGUAUAUGUAGUCAUAA